AUGGACGGAGGCGCCCGUGCGUCCUCGGACAUUCUGCCGAGCGCGGCUGAGCCAAGAACGUCUCUGGCCUUAAGCCAUUUCCAUAUGGGCCCUGGGUAGCAGUCUGAACUGUCCCGACUUACAAAUCCUUUAACUAACAAGUGGCGAUAACCUGCACGACUUCUUAACGUUCCAUUUAUUCUUCCAAGCGUCUGUGGUUCGGAGAUCUAGAAUCGCGGCGCUCCUGAGUGCCGAGCACAUGACAUAACGGAGGGAAGAAACGCUCCACAACUUUGCCAGCCAGGGAGGAAGUUCAAGUUUCAGCAGGCUCAGUGGAGUUAAAGAAAUCUCUGCGCCCAGCGUGGGGCUCGAACUCCCAACCCCGAGAUCAAGAGCGGCACGCGAGCGGACCCAGCAACACACUUCCGCCAAAGCCCUCCACGGCGGGGCCGACCACACGACGACCUCGCCGGGGACCUUACGAGAGUCCAGGAAACAUUCUUCCUCCCUGUGCUUCUCCGCUUCUGUCUCCAGUUGGCGAUCUCUCGGCCAGACUGGCCCUCUCCUCAGGGAUGAAGAUACUACUCAUUACGUGCCCUUGGA